rnacentral:rRNA from 1 species
GACGAACGCUGGCGGCGUGCUUAACACAUGCAAGUCGAACGGUGAACCAGAGCUUGCUCUGGGGAUCAGUGGCGAACGGGUGAGUAACACGUGGGCAACCUGCCCAGACUCUGGGAUAACCUCGGGAAACCGAUGCUAAUACCGGAUACGACCACUUCGGACAUCCGACGGUGGUGGAAAGUUUUCGGUCUGGGAUGGGCCGCGGCCUAUCAGCUAGUUGGUGGGGUAAUGGCCUACCAAGGCGACGACGGGUAGCCGGCCUGAGAGGGCGACCGGCCACACUGGAACUGAGACACGGUCCAGACUCCUACGGGAGGCAGCAGUGGGGAAUAUUGCACAAUGGGCGAAAGCCUGAUGCAGCGACGCCGCGUUGAGGGGACGACGGCCUUCGGGUUGUAAACCUCUUUCAGCAGGGACGAAGCGAAAGUGACUGUACCUGCAGAAGAAGACACCGGCUAACUACGUGCCAGCAGCCGCGGUAAU